rnacentral:SRP_RNA from 1 species
GCCAGGCAUGGUGGUGCAUGCCUGUAAUCCCAGCUACUCGGGAGGCUGAGACAGGAGAAUUGCUUGAAUCUGGGAGGUGGAGGUUGCAGUGAGCCGAGAUCGUGCCACUGCAUUCCAGCCUGGGUGACAGAGUAAGACUCUGUCUCAA